AACGAACGCUGGCGGCAGGCUUAACACAUGCAAGUCGAGCGGCCCGCAAGGGGAGCGGCGGACGGGUGAGUAACGCGUGGGAACCUACCUAGAGGUGCGGAAUAACUCAGGGAAACUUGAGCUAAUACCGCAUGAGCCCGAGAGGGGAAAGAUUUAUCGCCUUUGGAUGGGCCCGCGUCAGAUUAGCUAGUUGGUGAGGUAACGGCUCACCAAGGCGACGAUCUGUAGCUGGUCUGAGAGGAUGAUCAGCCACAUUGGGACUGAGACACGGCCCAAACUCCUACGGGAGGCAGCAGUGGGGAAUAUUGGACAAUGGGCGCAAGCCUGAUCCAGCAAUGCCGCGUGAGUGAUGAAGGCCUUAGGGUUGUAAAGCUCUUUUACCUGGGAUGAUGAUGACAGUACCAGGAGAAUAAGCCCCGGCUAACUCCGUGCCAGCAGCCGCAGUAAGAC
rnacentral:rRNA from 1 species